AUGCAGCUCUACAACAGCAUCUUCAGCCUGCUCAGCUUCGAGAAAAUCGGAUAUACAGAGGUUCAGUUCCGCCCGUAGCGCACGGACGAUUCCAUCACCCGCCUGAACUGGGAUGGGAAACUGGGGAUACUGGGAUGGACUGGGAUGGGAAACUG